rnacentral:lncRNA from 10 species
AAAUAGUCUCCAUAAUCUAAUCUCCAGAAUGCACUAAACCAGGAGAAGAUCCACCUGGAAUGGAAGAAUAUUAAGGAGAACAAGUCCUCAUCUCUCCAAAGACCCUUCAUCCUUCAUUUCACAAUAGUCUUUAUUGGUCUGCUGGAGUUUGCUGGAGGUCCACUCCAGACCCUGUUUGCCUGGGUAUCACCGGCAGAGGCUGCAGAGCAGCAAAGAUUGCUGCCUGCUCCUUCCUCUGGAAGCUUCAUCCCAAAGGGGCACCCGCCUGAUGCCAGCCAGAGCUCUCCUGUACGAGAGAUGCCCUGCCCAGUGAGGAGGAAUCUAGAGAAGCAGUCUGGCCAUAGCUUUGCUGCACUGCGCACUUCUCCUUGCUGCCGCCAUGUGAAGAAGAAUGUGUUUGCUUCCCCUUCCGCCAUGAUUGUAAGUUUCCUGAGGUCUCCUCAACCAUGCUGAACUGUGAGUCAAUUAAGCCUCUUUCAAUUAUAAAUUACCCAGUCUCAGGUAUGUCUUUAUUAGCAGCAUGAGAACGGACUAAUACAAUCCCCAUAUAACAAAUCUGCACAUGGGACCCCUGAAUGUAAAAUUAAAGUUUAAACUAUUAAAAAAAGAAAAGACAUUG